rnacentral:rRNA from 1 species
AACGAACGCUGGCGGCAUGCCUAACACAUGCAAGUCGAACGAGACCUUCGGGUCUAGUGGCGCACGGGUGCGUAACGCGUGGGAACCUGCCCUUAGGCUCGGAAUAACUCCCCGAAAGGGGUGCUAAUACCGGAUAAUUUCUUCGGACCAAAGAUUUAUCGCCUUUGGAUGGGCCCGCGUUGGAUUAGCUAGUUGGUAGGGUAAAAGCCUACCAAGGCGUCGAUCCAUAGCUGGUCUGAGAGGAUGAUCAGCCACACUGGGACUGAGACACGGCCCAGACUCCUACGGGAGGCAGCAGUGGGGAAUAUUGGACAAUGGGGGAAAGCCUGAUCCAGCAAUGCCGCGUGAGUGAUGAAGGCCUUAGGGUUGUAAAGCUCUUUUACCCGGGAUGAUAAUGACAGUACCGGGAGAAUAAGCUCCGGCUAACUCCGUG